UGGUCGUACAAGAAGAACAGGGGGGCGAUCCCCACACAUCAAAACCCUAAGUCUUCACCAAACUUGCAAAUUGAAGGCUCAAUCCAAGUCAAAAUCGAAAAUCAAGCAUAGAUUAUUGAUCCCCAUUGAAAGGGGAGUCAUAAGUUUGACUCUGACAAGCUAGGUAGGAGCUUGGAAAUGAACGGGUCAAAUGGAUACAAGUUCAAGUAUGAAGCUCGCAAGGAUGCAAGGUAAGUAUAACUUACACUAGUCAUAUAUUUUAAAAUGUUCUUUUGUCAUAUUGACUACGAAUAAGACAAAUGGUAAUUUAGUCACACGUUGACAAUAAUCGUUAGUUUUAAAAGACGCUUUCCCGCGAAAGACAUAAAGAGCCGAAAGUGGUAAUAAACGGUUUAUAAAUAAAAUGAGCAUACGGUGUUAAAAGGAGCGAGUCAUGUAGAUGAGAUGAUAAUAAAUAUUAUCUCGCAAAGAUAAACGGUCAAUUCGGCCAAACGGGUCAAAAGGUGUAGACAUCACCUUUUGACAAUAUCGACUAAUGAUUCUGGUGUCGAGUUAUAUGUUUACAGGAGUAGAUAUCCAAUGGAUACUCGCAUCGCUCUUAAUUAGCAAUUAUAAAGCAAGGUAUUAAACCGGGUUAGUAAGUUGAUCCGAGCCAGGUAUGUAUAAUAGAUUAACUCAUCAUGUAGAACUUGAAGUUCUAUGAAAGUUAGGCAAAAUAAAAAAAAGGCAUUCGGUUACCUUAAUAGGUAAACCGAAGGAUUUAAAUUAUUUAGACAGAAUGUUUUGAAAACAAGAUUUGGUUAAAAAUGAGAAAUUAGAAUCAAACAACAGGUUUGUUUGAUAAAAUCACGAACGGGUCAAAUUUGGUAAAAAGGGUUAAUAAGCCGAAGACUUAAAAGUCUUAAAAUUUUGUUAAUCCAGAUGUUGGGUCUUGACUCCAUUUGAUGGAGGUUCAAUUUACAAUCACGUAGGAAGAAACGGUAGGUCAAACAGACGAGCGGUUUGAAAGAUACGAAAGUUUUCGUGUCAAAAACGGCAAAAAGGAAAGGAAUGAUGCAGGGGCCACCGUAACUUACGGUGCCACCGUAAGUUACGGUGGACAUGAUUUGGUUACGGUAAAUGCCUACUGUUGUACGGUUGAAUAAUUGAAACACAGAGACCACCGUAACUUACGGUGCCACCGUAAGUUACGGUGGAGGUCAGAAAUGAGUUUUUAUUUUGGGUUUAAGAUAUCCAUGUGGGAUUUUCCUAAUUUCCCCAUUGUAUUAGUUUAAUUAAUUAUCAAAACUGACCUUUAAGUUGGUUUUGAUCACAGGUGAAUGUCGAGGGUCCCGGAUGAAGAUCGAGCAUCGAGCAAGAACCGAACACACAUUAAAUAAAGCUUCCGCAACGUUGUUUUGUCGUUAUUCUAAACGGUGAUUUAAAUCACAUUAUGUAUAUCACUUAAAUUGUAAAAGUUUUUAAUAAACCCGCAUUUUGUACAGUAUGUGUGGUCUUAACUACACAUCUAAUUGUGGGAAUCGCGAAUGCUGA
rnacentral:lncRNA from 1 species